UUGUUUUCAGGUUUUAUUCUUCAAUAUUAUUAUUACUUUUCCGGCAUUUAAAAUUCCAUUUUUGAGUGUGGGUGUGAACAUACUCGAAAGCUUAUCAAAUAAAAUGCGUAUCGUGGUGAAAAUAAAUAUAUUUUAGGGGUCCGAGAUACAAACCCCCAAAACUUGCCCUGUAAUAGAGUGAGAAAUGCUUGCCACCAGUGUCCAAUUGAUUAUUAUUUUUUGUAUACAUUUCCUGUCAAAGAACCUACCAGCCAUCACCAAAUGGCAGACCUCGGACCCAGUGAUCACCCUUUAUGGACCCGUGACCAAUUAAAGUGAAUGUUUCCUGUGUCGUCCAGAUGGUUGGGCUGGUCAUACAAAUGACUGACAGACGGCAUGUACGGAGCAUCGAUGCCAGCCAUGGGCACGUUGGGGCAGUGGAUGAUAAAGAUGAAGAUGGCGAUCACGCUGACUACAGCGCAGACCCCACAGAAACGGAUGAUGUCUCGACAGCGGAGGUUCAGUCUCUUCACAAUGUAGCCGCCCACGAAGGUGCCCCCUCCUCCUGCAGUUGCUGCCAUGAAUUGGACUGGUGAGCAUCGCGCUUUCGUUGUGGAAACGUAUAUCAAAACAAGCGAAUCUGCAACUGCAACACAACGAGCGUUCCGUUUGCACUUCAAUCUUGGUAGACGUGAUCCCGUACCAGCUGGAAACACCAUCUUGUUAUGGGUUACCAACUUCACAGCUACUGGAUCUGCA